AUGGUGGAUGGAGUUUCAGUCCUGGCUGCAGAAUUCCAGAGGAGCAUCCCAGCUCUUCCCUGGGGCCAGCAGCUCCUGGCAGGGUUUGUUGGUGCCUCUCCUGCUGAGGAAAACAGGAGGGAAACUCCAGGGAAAGCUCAGAUCCCAGGAAGAGGGGAUUUGGCUCCAGUGAUUGCUGCCCACGGCGCUGACAAGGGGAUGGAUCAGGAAAGGGACGGAUCAGGAAAGGGAUGGAUCGGGAAAGGGAUGGAUCAGGAAAGAAGGGACGGAUCAGGAAAGGGACGGAUCGGGAAAGGGAUGGAUCGGGAAAGGGAUGGAUCAGGAAAGAAGGGACGGAUCAGGAAAGGGACGGAUCGGGAAAGGGAUGGAUCAGGAAAGGGAUGGAUCAGGAAAGAAGGGAUGGAUCGGGAAAGAAGGGAUGGAUCGGGAAAGAAGGGAUGGAUCGGGAAAGGGAUGGAUCGGGAAAGAAGGGAUGGAUGGGGAAAAGGAUGGAUGGGGAAGAGGAUGGAUCAGGAAAAGGAUGGAUCGAGAAAGGGACGGAUCGGGAAAGGGAUGGAUGGGGAAAGAAGGGAUGAAUGGGGAAAGGGAUGGAUCAGGAAAAGGAUGGAUCGAGAAAGGGACGGAUCGGGAACGGGAUGGAUGGGGAAAAGGAUGGAUAAGGAAAGAAGGGAUGGAUGGGGAAAGGGAUGGAUGGGGAAAGGGAUGGAUGGGGAAAGGGAUGGAUCAGAAAAGGGAUGGAUCAGGAAAGGGAUGGAAGGGGAAAGGGAUGGAAGGGGAAAGGGAUGGAUCAGGAACUGGAUGGAUCAGGAAAGGGAUGGAUCAGGAAAGGGAUGGAUCAGGAAAGGGAUGGAUCAGGAAAGGGAUGGAUCGGAAAAAGGAUGGAUCGGGAAAAGGAUGGAUCGGGAAAGGGAUGGAUCAGAAAAGGGAUGGAUCAGGAAAGGGAUGGAUCAGGAAAGGGAUGGAUCGGGAAAGGGAUGGAUCAGAAAAGGGAUGGAUGGGGAAAGGGAUGGAUCGGGAAAGGGAUGGAUGGGGAAAGGGAUGGAUCGGGAAAGGGAUGGAUCACCCUCGCUGCGGGCUCUGACAAGCGAUGCUUCAACCUUGACAGCUCCCUCAGCAAAUUGUCACCACAGCCAUCAACCUGACCGAGCUAAAAACAUGGUGAUUACACCCAGAGCGUCCUCCCUGAAGAAUUCCUGA
rnacentral:lncRNA from 1 species